rnacentral:rRNA from 1 species
AACGAACGCUGGCGGCAUGCCUAACACAUGCAAGUCGAACGAGACCUUCGGGUCUAGUGGCGCACGGGUGCGUAACGCGUGGGAACCUGCCCUUAGGUUCGGAAUAACUCCCCGAAAGGGGUGCUAAUACCGGAUGAUCUCUUCGGGCCAAAGAUUUAUCGCCUUUGGAUGGGCCCGCGUUGGAUUAGCUAGUUGGUAGGGUAAAAGCCUACCAAGGCGACGAUCCAUAGCUGGUCUGAGAGGAUGAUCAGCCACACUGGGACUGAGACACGGCCCAAACUCCUACGGGAGGCAGCAGUGGGGAAUAUUGGACAAUGGGCGAAAGCCUGAUCCAGCAAUGCCGCGUGAGUGAUGAAGGCCUUAGGGUUGUAAAGCUCUUUUACCCGGGAUGAUAAUGACAGUACCGGGAGAAUAAGCUCCGGCUAACUCCGUG